rnacentral:rRNA from 1 species
CAAGUCGAGCGAGGACUAUCUAAGUAGCAAUACUCAGGUAGAGCCGAGCGGCGUAAGGGGCAGUAAUACCUGGGGACGUACCCCUCAGUCGGGAAUAGCCGCGGGAAACCGCGGGUAAUGCCCGAUAACACUGAGAAGUCAAAGGCUUGCCGCUGAGGGAGCGGCCCAGGCGCUAUUAGCUGGUUGGUGGGGUAACGGCCUACCAAGGCGAAGAUGGCUAGCGGGUGUGAGAGCACGACCCGCGCCACUGGCACUGAGACACUGGCCAGACACCUACGGGUGGCUGCAGUCGAGGAUCUUCGGCAAUGAGCGCAAGCUUGACCGAGCGACGCCGCGUGCGGGAUGAAGGCCUUCGGGUUGUAAACCGCUUUGGUCCGAGAGUAAGGUAGAGCAAUCUACUUGAACAAUCGGAGAAACAAGCACGGGCUAAGUUCGUGCCAGCAGCCGCGGUAAGACGAACCGUGCGAACGUUGUUCGGAAUCACUGGGCUUAAAGGGCGCGUAGGCGGCCGGGUUGGUCGUGGGUGAAAUCCCCCAGCUUAACUGGGGAAUUGCCUACGAUACUGCCAUGGCUCGAGGGAGGAAGGGGCGGCCGGAACUGUCGGUGGAGCGGUGAAAUGCGUUGAGAUCGACAGGAACGCCGGUGGCGAAAGCGGGCCGCUGGCCCUCUUCUGACGCUGAGGCGCGAAAGCCAGGGGAGCGAACGGGAUUAGAUACCCCGGUAGUCCUGGCCUUAAACGAUGGGCACUAGGUAGUGGGCUCGACCUGGGCGCACUGCCGCAGCGAAAGUCAUUAGUGCCCCGCCUGGGGAGUAUGGUCGCAAGGCUGAAACUCAAAGGAAUUGACGGGGGCUCACACAAGCGGUGGA